AUUGAACGCUGGCGGCAUGCUUUAUACAUGCAAGUCGAACGGUAACAGGCCGCAAGGUGCUGACGAGUGGCGCACGGGUGAGUAAUGCAUCGGAACGUGCCCAGUCGUGGGGGAUAACUACUCGAAAGAGUAGCUAAUACCGCAUACGAUCUAUGGAUGAAAGCGGGGGACCGUAAGGCCUCGCGCGAUUGGAGCGGCCGAUGUCAGAUUAGGUAGUUGGUGGGGUAAAGGCUCACCAAGCCAACGAUCUGUAGCUGGUCUGAGAGGACGACCAGCCACACUGGGACUGAGACACGGCCCAGACUCCUACGGGAGGCAGCAGUGGGGAAUUUUGGACAAUGGGCGCAAGCCUGAUCCAGCAAUGCCGCGUGCAGGAAGAAGGCCUUCGGGUUGUAAACUGCUUUUGUACGGAACGAAACGGCUCUGGUUAAUACCCGGGGCUAAUGACGGUACCGUAAGAAUAAGCACCGGCUAACUACGUG
rnacentral:rRNA from 1 species